UACAGAGGUCCCAAGCGUUGUUCGGAUUCAUUGGGCGUAAAGGGUGCGUAGGCGGCGCGGUAAGUCGGGUGUGAAAUCUCGGGGCUUAACUCCGAAACUGCAUUCGAUACUGCCGUGCUUGAGGACUGGAGAGGAGACUGGAAUUUACGGUGUAGCGGUGAAAUGCGUAGAUAUUGGGAAGAACACCGGUGGCGCAAGCGGCUUGCUGGGCCAUAACUGACACUGAGGAACGAAAGCUAGGGGAGCGAAUGGG
rnacentral:rRNA from 1 species